rnacentral:rRNA from 1 species
GGCGGCACGCCUAACACAUGCAAGUCGAGCGCUACCUUCGGGUGGAGCGGCGGACGGGUUAGUAACGCGUGGGAACAUACCCUUUUCUACGGAAUAGCCUUUGGAAACGAAGAGUAAUACCGUAUACGCCCUUCGGGGGAAAGAUUUAUCGGUUAAGGAUUGGCCCGCGUUAGAUUAGAUAGUUGGUGGGGUAAUGGCCUACCAAGUCUACGAUCUAUAGCUGGUUUGAGAGGAUGAUCAGCAACACUGGGACUGAGACACGGCCCAGACUCCUACGGGAGGCAGCAGUGGGGAAUCUUAGACAAUGGGCGAAAGCCUGAUCUAGCGAUGCCGCGUGAGUGAAGAAGGCCCUAGGGUCGUAAAGCUCUUUCGCCAGGGAUGAUAAUGACAGUACCUGGUAAAGAAGUUCCGGCUAACUCCGUGCCAGCAGCCGCGGUAAUACGGAGGGAACUAGCGUUGUUCGGAAUUACUGG